AUGGGAAGUAGUACGCCCGGUUCACCAGAAGGAAAAGAAGCUCCUAGCGUGAAGGUAGCUUGUCUCGCCCAGGAGGUGGGAACAGUUGAAAACAAAGUGGCAAACGGGUGCGUAAUGCGUGGGAAUCUGCCGAACAGUUCGGGCCAAAUCCUGAAGAAAGAUAAAAAGCGCUGUGACGACGACGUCGAGUUGGCGGCGGAGAAAGACUCGGCAUUCAGGCGAGCCGCCCGGUGGUGUGGUACGUAG